rnacentral:rRNA from 1 species
CGAGCGGUAACAGAUCUAGCUUGCUAGAUGCUGACGAGCGGCGGACGGGUGCGUAACACGUAGGAAUCUGCCUGGUAGUGGGGGAUAGCCCGGAGAAAUCCGGAUUAAUACCGCAUACGCCCUAAGGGGGAAAGCAGGGGAUCUUCGGACCUUGCGCUAUCGGAUGAGCCUGCGUCGGAUUAGCUAGUUGGUGGGGUAAAGGCCUACCAAGGCAACGAUCCGUAGCUGGUCUGAGAGGAUGAUCAGCCACACUGGGACUGAGACACGGCCCAGACUCCUACGGGAGGCAGCAGUGGGGAAUAUUGCACAAUGGGCGCAAGCCUGAUGCAGCCAUGCCGCGUGUGUGAAGAAGGCUCUAGGGUUGUAAAGCACUUUCAGCGAGGAGGAAAGGUAGUUAGUUAAUACCUGACUACUGUGACGUUACUCGCAGAAGAAGCACCGGCUAACUCCGUGCCAGCAGCCGCGGUAAU